ACUCAAAUGAAUUGACGGGGGCCCGCACAAGCGGCGGAGCAUGCGGAUUAAUUCGAUGCGACGCGAAGAACCUUACCUGGGUUUGACAUGCACUGAAAAGCGGCAGAGAUGUCGUGUUCUUCGGAGUGGUGCACAGGUGGUGCAUGGCUGUCGUCAGCUCGUGUCGUGAGAUGUUGGGUUAAGUCCCGCAACGAGCGCAACCCUCGUUCCAUGUUGCCAGCACGUUAUGGUGGGGACUCAUGGGAGACUGCCGGGGUCAACUCGGAGGAAGGUGGGGAUGACGUCAAGUCAUCAUGCCCCUUAUGUCCAGGGCUUCACGCAUGCUACAAUGGCCGGUACAACGGGUAGCGAUACCGUAAGGUGGAGCGAAUCCCUAAAAGCCGGUCUCAGUUCGGAUCGGGGUCUGCAACUCGACCCCGUGAAGUCGGAGUCGCUAGUAAUCGCAGAUCAGCAACGCUGCGGUGAAUACGUUCCCGGGCCUUGUACACACCGCCCGU
rnacentral:rRNA from 1 species